rnacentral:lncRNA from 1 species
CGGAGACCCGAAGCUCCUCCCGAGGCCGGGACAGCCACCCCGUCUGCCUCUUCUCGUGGCCGACUCCCUCCUUGCACCCUCCAGGGCUCGGGGAAGUGCCACCUCUUGAGAGCGGUCUGCUCCGGCCACCUGCCCACGUGGUGCCUUGACGUUCUUUUCUCAGCCUCUUUUUCAGUCUCCUUCCUGGAUCCCCCACCCCUCCUCACCUGAUCCCGGAACCCACGACAGGGGCAGAUUCAGCCAGGCAGCUGCUCCGGUUGGCAUCUGAAAAGUCCCCAAAGGCCCCUGUGCUGGCGGUUUGGUCCCGGGGGAGGUGCUGUGGGUGGUGGUAAAACCUUCAAGAGGUGGGGCCCAGUGGAGGUCCUCGGUCCCUGGGGCGUGUGCUCAGGGGAGCUAUGUUUGCUCCUCUGCCCUUGGCUGCAAGGGCAACUCUUUUGCUCCGCCAUGAUGUGCUGCCUCCCACAGACCCACAAGCAGCUGGGCCAACGGUGGACUGAAACCACCCAAACCACGAGCCAAAAUAAACCUUUUUUCUUUAUAAAUUGAUUACCCCAGGUAUUUGUUAUCGUGACAGAAAGGUGACGAAUGCAACGGCCUACUUCCUGUUUAUACAGUGACCCUUGUUCUUAAUCACUGUCAACACUGAUCAUGGAUCGAAACUAAGCAGUGGAAUUCGGCGACAGUCCCACACCACCUAACCUUGUCUGGGUCAAUGCCAGAUUGUGGGCUUGACUUGUCUCCUAAGAUUAGAGCAGACCUGCAAACUUCCCGUCACUUUGUGACAUUAGAGCAUUUGGAGUGUCACAGGGGAACACAUUGCUCCUGUGUUCAUGGUGAUGCCGGUGUCAACAAACCCACUACACUGCAGUCGUAGAAAAGUGCCGCAAUCCAGUCCCGUGUAGCACAUCGUACUUGAUAAUGGCGAUGACCGGCCGUGGUGGUGGCCUAUGUAUUUACCACACCACGCUUUUUAUCAUCAUUUUAGCAGGUACCCAUAGUACAACAGCAAAAAGCUGCUUAAUGAAAACAGUAGGCUGCCUUCCUCACGCAUCUCCUGUUAACUGAGACUCUUACCUGCAUCAAGAGGCCACAUGGAGAUGGACCUGCCCC